AUUGAACGCUGGCGGCAGGCCUAACACAUGCAAGUCGAACGGUAACAGGAAGCAGCUUGCUGCUUUGCUGACGAGUGGCGGACGGGUGAGUAAUGUCUGGGAAACUGCCUGAUGGAGGGGGAUAACUACUGGAAACGGUAGCUAAUACCGCAUAACGUCGCAAGACCAAAGAGGGGGACCUUAGGGCCUCUUGCCAUCGGAUGUGCCCAGAUGGGAUUAGCUAGUAGGUGGGGUAACGGCUCACCUAGGCGACGAUCCCUAGCUGGUCUGAGAGGAUGACCAGCCACACUGGAACUGAGACACGGUCCAGACUCCUACGGGAGGCAGCAGUGGGGAAUAUUGCACAAUGGGCGAAAGCCUGAUGGAGCCAUGCCGCGUGUAUGAAGAAGGCCUUCGGGUUGUAAAGUACUUUCAGCGGGGAGGAAGGGAGUAAAGUUAAUACCUUUGCUCAUUGACGUUACCCGCAGAAGAAGCACCGGCUAACUCCGUG
rnacentral:rRNA from 1 species